rnacentral:rRNA from 1 species
GUGUCAGCAGCCGCGGUAAGACAGAGGGUGCAAACGUUGUUCGGAAUUACUGGGCGUAAAGCGUGUGUAGGCGGCCUCAUAAGUCGGAUGUGAAAGCCCCGGGCUCAACUCGGGAAGUGCACUCGAUACUGUGAGGCUUGAGUAUCGGAGAGGUUGGUGGAAUUCUCGGUGUAGAGGUGAAAUUCGUAGAUAUCGAGAGGAACACCGGUGGCGAAAGCGGCCAACUGGACGAAUACUGACGCUGAGACACGAAAGCGUGGGGAGCAAACAGGAUUAGAUACCCCGGUAGUCC